AGUAAAGUCAGCUAAUCAAGCUCUUGGGCCCAUACCCCAAAAAUGUUGGUUUAAAUCCCUCCUGUACUA
rnacentral:tRNA from 2 species